AUUGAACGCUGGCGGCAGGCCUAACACAUGCAAGUCGAGCGAGCGGCGGACGGGUGAGUAAUGUCUGGGAAACUGCCUGAUGGAAGGGGAUAACUACUGGAAACGGUAACUAAUACCGCAUACCAUCAGAUGUGCCCAGAUGGGAUUAGCUAGUAGGUGGGGUAAUGGCUCACCUAGGCGCCGAUCCCUAUCUGGUCUGAGAGGAUCACCAGACACACAGGAACUGAGACACGGUCCAGACUCCUACGGGAGGCAGCAGUGGGAAAUGUUGCACAAUGGGCGCAAGCAUGAUGCAGCCAUGCCGCGUGUGUGAAGAAGGCCUUCGGGUUGUAAAGCACUUUCAGCGGGGAGGCGUUACCCGCAGAAGAAGCACCGGCUAACUCCGUGCCAGCAGCCGCGGUAAUUC
rnacentral:rRNA from 1 species